GACGAACGCUGGCGGCGUGCCUAAUACAUGCAAGUAGAACGCAGUUGCGAACGGGUGAGUAACGCGUAGGUAAAUGCCCCAUAGCGGGGGGAAACUAUUGGAAACGAUAGCUAAUACCGCAUACUGUGAGAUGGACCUGCGUUGUAUUAGCUAGUUGGUGGGGCAAAGGCUCACCAAGGCGACGAUACAUAGCCGAGCUGGGAGGGUGAGCGGCCAAACUGGGACGUGGACACGGCCCAGACCUCUACGGGGGGCAGGCGGAGGGAAACUUCGGAAAUGGGCGGAAGGCUGACCGAGCAACGCCGGGUGAGUGGAGAAGGUUUUCGGAGCGUAAAGCUCUGUUGUGAGAGAAGCGGUAACUACCCAAAAAGGGACGGCUAACUACGUGCCAGCAGCCGCGGUAAUAC
rnacentral:rRNA from 1 species